rnacentral:lncRNA from 1 species
CCCAACUUCAACUUCUCUUUUGUUAGUUUUAGAACCCAAGUUAAUGACAUCCACUGGCUCUUUGUAUGGUUGAAUCUCCUUUUCUUCGUGCUCAAGGAGCCGUGCUAGUUCAGCUGGUAAUUCACAAUCUUUCUCACUGCCGUCUUCAGCUUGGUUGAUCAGAAAUCCAGAUUUACAGUUGAUUUUAGCCAUGUUGUAAUCAAUAGUUUUGUUUGCUCUACAUAUGAUGAGCUUAUUUUAGUAUGCAUUUUUUAGAAAAGUGGAAAAAGGAAAAAGGAAUCUUUUUCCAUUUUGUUGUUUUUUAGUGAAAAAGGAAAAUAACUGAAAGAAAAGGGAACACAAGUUUUGCAUGCAAAAAGUACUUUUUAUUUAUUCACAUAAUACUUUUAAACAUGGAGGCCCUUACAAGCUAUCAUCUCAUCUCGUGCGAGGAUGAGGGAUCAAGAAAAUAAAAUGCAUUACGUUUUUUCCGAGUACACUAUCGGAAUCACGAUGGACGUCCAAUUGGGAAGCUUGAAUCUUGGGGGACAUCUGCGAAUGAGGCUGGGUUCCCCUGGUUUGCUACUGCUGGACUCUCCAAUAACUGCCAUAGUAUGCUCAUUUUGAUAGUCAGCGUUGCUGAAUUUGAUCGGGUUGAACUGUUUUUUCUUCGGGCUCGCCUUGCGUGCUGUUGGGUGAUAACCGAUACCAAACAUGUCACGUUUCUCUGCCAUAUUGACGACUUUACCCCAACAGGGAAGUGGGCCUCUCUCCAAUGUCUGCUUGGCACUUUUCGCUGAGGAUAGGAUGGUAGCGGAAGAUUGGUUGUGAUUGGAAGUAGCGGAACCGACUUCUUCAAAUUCUAAACAAUGGAACGGAACUUCGAAGAUCCCUUCAUCUGUUUCAAAAUAUCUUAAAGAGGAGAGUUAACUGACCAACAGAUCUUCCUCACCACACACAAUUACCAGUUUGUCAUCAAUCAAGUACUUCAGCCUUUGGUGAAACGUAUAAGUGAUUUCCCCUGUGGCGUGAAUCCAUGGUCUGCACAACAAACAACUGUAAGUUGGGUUGAUAUCCAUGACUUGGAAGGUGAUGUUGAACUGGUGAGGUCCAACACAUAUAGUCAAAUCGACUUCCCUAAUAACCUACCUUCGGGAACCAUCGAAAGCUCGAAUGAUCAGUGCACUUGUCUUCAUCUCAGGCCCUUUAAACUGCAAUUGGCUUAAUGCAGAUUUUGGCAACAUAUUAAGUGAAGAACCAGUGUCAACGAGGACUCGAGAUAAAAGAGAGUCAAUUCAUGUGACCUAGAUGUGUAGUGCUUUGUUGUGGGCAUUUCCCUCAAGAGGUAGCUCUGCUUCAUUAAAUCCCAAAUGCCUAUUGGCAGUGAUAUUGGCAACCACGUCGUCAAAUUGAUCGACCGUGAUGUCUUGCAUCACAUGAGCGAAAUUUAGAACUUUCAGCAAUGCCUUGCGAUGAGCCUCAGAACUCAUUAGCAAAGACAACAUUAAUAUUUUGGAGGGAGUCUGAUUCAACUGGUCAACAAUUUUGAAAUCACUUUUCUUGAUCAAUUUGAGGAAUUCUUGGCUUUCCUCAAAAGUGAUGCUCUUCUUGUGAUCUUCAACUUGUUCUUUUUCAACCAUCGGCCCUUUACCCUUAGACGUUUCAGAUUCUGCAGCUUUAUCGUCAAUAACCUUCGUCAGCACUGAAGCAGUCGUCACGCUCGGAGCGGCAGGUACAAUUACCCCUGCCUACGGAGUCGGAGUAGGAAUGACCUUCUCUUUAAGCGGGAUAACUGUGGGUGCUGGAGACACCCUAGGAGUGUAUUUUGGGGCAAAUACAUGGCCACUCCGAGUCAUGCCUCCCGUUCCAGCAAUGUUGACGAUUUCUGUGUCAGGAAUGCAGAUUUCUUUUCCUCCCAAAUACAUUGUAGUCUCAUAAUUCCAAGGCACUGCCUUGGUAUCCUGAUACGGGAACAGAGUGGGAACACGGAAAUGAAUCGGCUGAGUCCUCUUAGGAGGAGCUUCAACCUUCUUCUUUCUGUACAUAAUUCCUAUUUGUUCAAUUACGGCCACCUCUUUUGUUGCUUUAGACUUGGAGAAUCGUAUCAACCCAAACUGUUCAAGCCUCUAUAACACAACUGACAUCGGAGUCUUCACCUCUUCAGCUCUUAGUAUAGACUCAACAUUUUCUUCUUCAAUCACAACGUUGACUGCUACGCCAGCGUGGUUUGGCAAGGGAUUAGUCUUUACGUUGGGCUUUUCCUCGGAGAAAUACAGGAUAUCUUGGACAAUCAACUCUUGGAUCCUCUUUUUGAGAGCCCAACAGUCUUCGGUGGAGUGUCCUAUGUACCCUGCAUGGAAAGCACAUGUGGCAUUAGGAUUGUGACUGCGAUUAAAGGGAGGAGAGGUUGCUAGGAGUUCUUUUGGUACGAUAGCCCCCACGUGGAUCAAAUACGACACCAACUCUACAUACGGUACCCGAAUCUUAUCAAAUUGGGGACGAUUACCAAAAUUGUUUCUAUUGUUCUGACCUCGAUUUUUUCCUUUGUCGUCACACUUGUAUUGUUGGUUCGGAUUUCUCUGAGCGGGCAUUGAUUGUUGAUUACAUUUAUGUGGUUGGUAUUGGAAUGACGAUUGUUGAUAUUGAGCUAAGGUGACGUAUGGAUACGGAUAAUACGACAUAGGGGCCAUCAAAAAUUGAUAUUGGGGGCGAGCACUCGCCGUCACAGUGUUUUCCUCCCCCUCCUUCUUCUUUGCGAAGCCCCCAUGCGGCCUCUUCUUUGAUGUUUGCGGUGCAGCCGUGUCUAUGAUUUUCCCCAAUCUCAGCCCAUUCUCUACACGCUCCCCAAUGGUUACCAUAUCAGCGAAAUUUGUUGACGAACUUCCGAUCAUCUUCUCAAAAUACAUCCCUUGUGUCGUACCCCAAUUUUGUCCGGGCAUUUUUAAUUUUUUCAAAAUUAAUUUCAGUUUUAUUUUUGCAUCAUACGCAUAGCAUGACAUACAUUUGCAUCAUGAAUAAACACCUAAAAUGUCAGUCAGAAGGAAUUUAUUUGAGAAUACAGAAAAAAUCGGUUGAAUCGUUAAAAUUUGAGAAAAGACUGUAUUUUUAAUAAGUAGGUUUUGUGCUGACAAUUUUAAUGUGACUGGUUUAUUUAUUAUUAUUAUUUUUUUUAUUUUUUUAUUUUCUUUCUUUUUUCGAAUUAAAUUUGUACUCGAUUUUUUUUAAUUGGUCAAAUAUUAGUUAGAGUUUUUUUUUAAAUAUUAUUUAAUUAAAUAUUAGUUAAUGUUUUUUAUAUUAAUUAGUUUUUUUAUAUUAGUUAGAUUUUUUCUAAAAUAGUAGUUAAUUUUAGUUUUUAAAUAUUAAUUAGUUUGUUUAGUUAGAUUUUGUAAAAUAUUAGUUAGAGUAUUUUUUUUUUAAUAUUAAUUAGUUUUUCUAAAUAUUAGUUAGUUUUUAAAUAUUAGUUAGAUUUUUCUUUUUAAUAUUAAUUAGUUUUUUUUAGUGUUAAUUAGUUUAAGAGUUAGUUAACUUUUUUAUUAGUUAAUUUUUAAAUAGUAGUUAGUUAGAGUUUUUAAAAUAUUAAUUAGUUUUUUUAUUUUUUAUGAAUAUAUGUAUUUUACAUUGGAUUCCAAUCCAUAAAAAAACAAAAAAAACAAAAUCUCCCAACGUCUCUCUCCAUCCACUCCCAACAGACCCUGCUCCACUACCUCUCCUCUCUCUCGUACCAGAAAAGACAAAAAAAGAAAAUAGAUAAAUGGGAACGUUACUCUCUCACUCUCAGACCACUAUUCACUCUCUCAAAAAAAAGACAAUCUCUCAAUUUCCUCUCAACUCUGAGCUCACACAAUCCCCUUCCUCUCUCGCCCCAAAUCUCUCACUCUCAAUUCUCAGCUGAAACUCUCACCGACAAACCCUCCUCUCUAAAAUCCGCCGCCACCACCUUCUACCACCACUAAACACUCACCAACCGUCAACCCUCCGAAUCCUUCAUCAUCUUCGUCAUCGCAACUCAACCGUUCACCGCCACCCAAAACCCCUACCGUCGCGGCGACUUCCACCUUCAAACCCUUAAACCACCUUCGAAACACCGUCAAAACCGCCGUCGCUCUCACCGGCAAACUCUCUCCAUCUACCUUCAAAUCGCGCCCUCACCGACAAACCCACACGAAACCUACUCAUCUCACAAUCUCCAAGCCGUCACCAUCCAUCAUCGCUUCCGUCCACAAUCGCGACCCAUCUUCACCGCUAAAACCUAAUCUCUAAAUCCGCCGUCAUCACCGUACCGAAGCCGUCGGUGACUUGUCAGUUCGCAACUAUCUUCGACCUUCAUCAACAGUUUGGGAUUGUGUUGUGUAAUUUUUCUGUUUUUUCAGGGAAAGUCUGAAGCUUUAGAGCCAUGGGUCCAGCACCGGUGACGAUUACAACUAGCCUCUGUUGAUAGCUUCAAAAGGAUUUUCUUAUGAUUCUGGAAACGGUUUCAAGUCGCGCUGAUUCCUCUUCUUCCGCAACAACCACAAAGACCGUUAUUACUCUACCACUCUCAGCACGGCGUCGAAACCGCUUCUUGUCCACAUUAAAGCAAGCCGGGCAGAUUGUUGAAACACCAUGGAUACGGGGAUUGGGUGGAAGAUCUCAGGCUGUUGCUGAUGAUGUACUCCUGAAAUAAGCUCUUGACAACUAUCCGUCUGUACGGUAACAGAUCGAUUUAAGCUUAUUUUAGAAUUAUGAUUGUUUCAUGACAGUAUUUGAUAUCUCUGGAUAAUGUGUGUGUUUGUGAUUUUUAUCUUCCGAUUCGUUCUGGUGGUAGAUGGUAUCAACAUAUUUUAUGCUGAAAAUUUCGUUGAGGAUUGUAAAUUUUUUCUCUGAAUAUUGUUACUCUGUGUCGUUACUGUUUCGUUUUGUGUUGAUACUACAAUAGCCCUGUAUAUAAUCACAAUUUGCGGUGACAUACUUUGAUACCAUUUUUAUUGUACAUAUUCAACUCUUGAUUAUGACUUGUUUUAGCUAUAUCAAAAGGAUUUGUUUUGUAUUGCCUGUGAAGUUUAUAGUUGCUUGUAGUAUCUCGUUCAUUUUUCAUUUGAAUUGAGAUUUGGAUUAUGAAUACCAACGUGCUUGCUUAUACACAACUUAUGCGACUUUCAGUUUGGAUUAUAUUUGGGAAGAUAUUUUAAGUGGGAACUGUAUUAAAAUUCUGCUCUUGAAUUAUUAGAUUAGUUUGUGGAUGGAUCACUAUUGUUGGUGCAAAUGAGUUAUUAGCCCACGGCAUUAUCAGAAUUCUAAUAAUCUCAUGAUUGGUUUACAACGAUUUUCUCAAAUGCAUGUUGUUUUUAUUGCUGAAAUUUAAAUUGGAUUAUCAAUUGCCUAAUGGACUUUAUAGUGUAUAUAUAAGUCUACUUUAAUCAUAAGGCAUNAGUUCCUUCCUUGAAAACACAAACUUUAGAACCUACCCUUGGGAAUUUCUAGUAAUCAGAAAAACCCGUAUUUCUUCCUGUUAUCCUGACGUACCCGACGUGUGAAUAAUCUUAAGUCUGUAUUCCUUUGCAAAAAACAUGGCAAAAUUUCAUGCAUUUGCAUAUCAUCAACAUGCAUUGCAUAUCAUCUCCCAGAAACAAAAUCUCACACCAUGUUCUGCCCUUUGUCCAGUAAACGCUGACUACUCGACACCGGUACGAGACACGCCGCAAUUACAAGAUGACACUUGAACAGCUUGAAGCUAACCAAGUUUCGAUGAGGACCGACAUUGACUCCAUGCAGGCAAAGAUGGAUCGCUUGCUUGAGACCAUGUUACUCUUGGCUCAGAAGGAGAAGGAUGCUGAGACUAACGCCGAAGCCAGGAAAAUUGCUGCCCAAUUUGGAUCACCAUCGCUCAGUAUCCCUGGAGUGAUUGACCUUGAUGGUAACCCUAAUCAGCCUAGAGAAGGACCGAUCCCUAUUCCGAUCCCAAUGGACAAUAUAAAACCCCACGAGCAUUCUACUGUAUCUGCUCGACACGGAUCUGUGAUAUGUGAUGAAGAUCCAUAUGACGCUUUCUUCAUGCCACAGCCCGUCCAGCCUGCUGUUGGAGGUCUCCCAGACCCAGCUGUUGACAGACUCCAUGCGUUGGAGGAAAAGUUUAAGUCCUUGGAGGUUCACACUACUCCCGGUUUGGACGCCGUCGAUAUGUGCUUGGUGCCAGGCCUUGUGAUUCCACAGAAGUUCAAAGUCCCGGACUUUGACAAGUACAAAGGGAUCAGCUGCCCAAGAACACACCUCAGAGCUUACUGCCGCAAAAUGGCCGCCCACAUCAGUAAUGAUCAACUCCUGAUUCAUUACUUCCAAGAUAGUCUCAGUGGGGCAUCUUUGGAGUGGUACAUGCAACUGGAGAGAGGACAGGUCCAAUCAUGGAGAGACCUUGCUGAAGCAUUCCUCAGGCAUUAUCAGUACAACACUGAUCUAGCACCCAAUCGCACCCAACUGCAAGACAUGACUCAACGCAACAAUGAGUCAUUCAAAGAAUACGCCCAGCGGUGGAGAGAGCUAGCAGCUCGUGUUCAACCUCCUCUCUUUGACAAAGAGCUAAUUGACAUGUUUAUGGGAACCCUACACACCCAGUACAUGGAGAAGAUGGUAGGAUCCAGUUUCCCAACUUUUGCUGAGGUCGUCUCCGUGGGAGAACGAAUCGAGAGCCAGAUCAAGAAGGGGAAACUACCUUGCGCUGCUAAUGCUUCAAGUGGGAUGAAGAAACCUUAUCCUAAUCUCCCAAAGAAGCCAGAAGGUCAAACCAAUUCCAUAAUGGGAGGAGGAGGAUAUAGGGCACGCCCGUAUGCUCCUAUGCCUUAUAAUCAGGUUGCCGCUGUCGUCCCGACACCAUAUCAGCCUCCAUAUCAGCAACCCCAUCAACAACAAUAUCAACAGCCUUAUCAACAAACAGCUUAUCAGCAUCAGAAUCAACAUCGACGUGCUCCACAACCACGUCCCCCCAAUCAGCAGAGGGCAAGGAGGCCAGAAAGGCAUUUCGAUCCUUUGCCAGUAUCAUAUAGCAAGAUCCUCCCCUACCUGCUAAAGGAUGGAUCGGUCGUUCUGAAGGAGAUAACACCUGUAACUCCACCAUAUCCUCCAGGCUACGACGCCAAUGCUCACUGUGAGUAUCACAUGGGUGCUCCAGGGCACACAAUAGAGAACUGUAAGGCUUUCAAGCACAAGGUUCAAGAUUUGGUUGACAGUAAAGCACUUACAUUCACGCCAGUGAGGCCAAACGUUGCAACAAACCCCAUGCCGGCGCAUGCAGAAUCAAGUGAAGCUCGAAGGUAAAGCUUCCCACCGGCCUAAACAAGCAGAGCAAUUCCGCUGAAGAACCCAGAGAUGAAGGCUUGUUCAUUUGAAUGAAGGCAAUCCUGAUGCCAUUUUUACCAUUUUGCAUUCUUGUAAUUUGAUCUUGUUUGUCUAAGUACUGUACGCUUUAAACAUUGUUAUUUGUAUUUGGUUUUGUUAAUGGGAUGGUUAUGCAUGCUUUGAAUCAAUCUUUCNGGAUGAAACCCUGCUGAUGAUGUACAGGCAUUGUUUCAAAUCCCCAAACACUGGAGAGAUAAGGAGUUAAUCCCUAGUCAACCACUUCGAGCCUAGAAGUAGGAGUUUCUUUCAGAUCUAAAAAACCUUUACGCUUAACCUGGGGCAGGGUAGUGUUCAGUUAACCUGACUACACAUACAAAUUACAAAGGUGAAGUAUCCCAUACGAGGAUCAACCAUAUGACACUCUUCACACACAUCAUGAAGUGUCGAAGGAACCAUACAAAUCCAGAAUCUAUGUCGGUUGUUCUUCAAUGACCAAUGUCCUGGCAGUCACAAUUAAAAAAAAGGUCGAAGAAAGAGCCCGCUAAGUCGAACACCCUAAAAGGAGACUUAGGCAAAAAACAGGGGCAAUCCCGAUGGAUUAAAGCUUCAAACAAAGCGGUCCAUGCAAAAGUUAGGGAUCAAAACAAAAAAUCGAAAGAGACAAUGAAAGUCCUCAACAAAAGCAAAACAAGAUUCAGUGACCACCAUACCAAAAUCAAAGGGUCGCCGACAUCCAAAAAAACGAAAUAAGGUGGCUGCCAUUCCAAGGGACUUUGAACCACCAUCUUUAUCCUUACACAUGCAAGAGAAGAAUGUGUGUGAAUUAACUGAACAUAGGAUUGGAGAUCAUCAUGAAGAAGGGGUGGGUUAAAAUAAACUUUGAGCCUUAUAUCCUUUUGUUUCAAAACCAUCGACCAACACAGCAACGCCUCAAAAGACCAAGUUGAGUAGUGGUUUAUUCUGAAAGCAUACAUACAAGUUAGUAACUGACUCCUAAAUAUUUUCCAAUAUUCUCCUCUCACUAUAUCACUCACACACUAGCUAAAUCAAGCACCGCGUUUGGACACAUGAUCCACUCGCCACACACUACCACAACACUUCCCAAAUGAAUGAUUAUUUUUCAAAACUUGCAUAACUGUUGCAUUAACAUCACCAUUUCGUAGAUAACAAUUCUUAAUUGUCAGUCAGUGCUUGACAUCGGAAAAUUCCAACAAGGAGUAAUUCAACGGGCACUUGAUUGUUGGUGCUGACACGAAUCCAGACCAUCCUGUGAAUCAGGGGCAUGGCAUCUUUUGAUCAUAUUGACCUAAGAAGUAGUCUGUGUAAGACAAAUCUCCAAGCAUCGGUUGAUCAGGGAGAAAAACACUUCAGUACUCGGCCCGUCUGAAGCAGGUCCCUCAAAGGCUAAUCAGGGGCAGACCAUAGCCAGAUUUGGACAUCAGGAAACAAACUCAGACCAUGUCAUGGGAUAAUCACUCCUAAGGUUUCUUGCAGGGAGAAUUCCUUUGAACACCCUACAAACAGGGGCAAGACAAGUUGCAAGGGGCAAAAUUCCCUUCAUAUCUUCAAGACAGUCAGGCAGAUUGCGUCAAACAUUAGUGACUGCUUGAAUUCACAACCAAAAUGUCAAAAGUUCGUACCAGUACAACAUCAUGCCUUGACAAGAAUCCUUGAGGCACGUCAAAAGCACAAUCAUCAUGCGCUGAUCACGUCGCUAUGCUCAGUUACAAGCUGGCCAAACACUUCAGAAGAAGAAACCAAGAUCUUCUCAAAGACAAAUACUCAACAUAUCAGCAAGAGAUCAAACCUGGGGCACCAAGAGUAUCCACAUCCAUUUCGUGUUCAUCAUAUCAUCAACUACUGAGUGUCGGGAAUGUCAGAUCCUUUCACCAAUCAAUAGCAUAUCCACAUUGACAAUUACCAAAAAAACCUAAAGCCCACAUUGUUGGCACCCACAUAAAACCAAAUAUAACCAACUUUGGUUUCCAGAAGAUGCAUUGCCUUUGAAAGGGGGGCCAAUCCCAAACAAACCAAUCAUUCUUUGCAUACAAACAUGCAUUUCAUGCAUCAUAUGCAUCACCUCAUACAUAAUACAUACAUAUCAUUCAUGUACAUAACACAAAUCAAGAUCCAAGGUUUAGUCGUAGGCAUACAGGCCAACCCUCAGUUGAGUCGUUAUUUUUCUCUGAGUGAGUUCCUACCCUACUAUCGGGCGUUCCCCAUUGAGUUACAUCCUUCAACCUUUUGUUGAUAAGAUGUUAUCCUCAGCUUAGUCAAACAAUGUUUCUUUAAACACCUAUUUUUUUUUUCACGUUGAGCGUCCCUCAAUGAGUCGUUUCCCAUAACCUUUUGUUGACAGAAAUUACAUCUCCCCAGAGAACAUUGGCUCUGCAACCUUUUGUUGUUGAUACCCCCAAGCAAGUCUUACCCAAUAAUGUCCCAAUACUACCCAACAAAUCGGGUUUACUGGACUUUGACAGUAGCCUUAUUUUUCCAAUAUUUUUCUCACUACCAUCCUUUUGGUGAAAGUCCAUGGAGGAAUAAUACCAGUCAUCACCUUGUUUAUGAUCACCGUUAUCCUUUUGGUAAUGGUAAAUUCUUGACAUUUGUGAUCUUACUGUCAUCCUUUUGGUGUCGAAGAUCAUUGAAGUUUUAAGCUAACCUUCAUCCUUUUGAAUCACCUUGUUUAUGAUCACCGUUAUCCUUUUGGUAAUGGUAAAUUCUUGACAUUUGUGAUCUUACUGUCAUCCUUUUGGUGUCGAAGAUCAUUGAAGUUUUAAGCUAACCUUCAUCCUUUUGGUGAUGGUGACCUCUGCAAUUAUUACACCCCACUGUCAUCCUUUUGGUGUCAGUAAUAUUUGAAGUCAUUAUAACUUAUUAUCAUCCUUUUGGUGGUAACGAGUUUCGAAGUUAUGAUUCCACCUUCAUCCUUUUGGUGAUGGUGAUUGUUGAUUCAUUAUCAUCCUUUUGGUGAUAACGAGUUCUGUUGUUUGUAGCGCCUUCAUCCUUUUGGUGAUGGUGACUAUUGACUUAUUAUCAUCCUUUUGGUGGUAACAAGUUUUGUCGUUUUAACAAUACCUUCAUCCUUUUGGUGAUGGUGAGUGUUGACUUCUUAUCAUCCUUUUGGUGAUAACAAGUUUGUGUCUUGAUCUUACCUUCAUCCUUUUGGUGAUGGCGAUCAUUUGUGUUGUCAGCUUAUUAUCAUCCUUUUGGUGGUAACUAAGUUUUGUCGUUUGACAAAUACCUUCAUCCUUUUGGUGAUGGUGAUUGUUGACUUCUUAUCAUCCUUUUGGUGAUAACAAGUUUGUGUUUUGAUCUUACCUUCAUCCUUUUGGUGAUGGUGAUCAUUUGCGUGUGUGCUUCUUAUCAUCCUUUUGGUGGUAACAAGUUUUAUCUUUUGAUUAUACCUUCAUCCUUUUGGUGAUGGUGGUUAUCAUCCUUUUGGUGAUAACAAGUUUGUGUCUUGAUCCUACCUUCAUCCUUUUGGUGAUGGUGAUCAAUUGUGUUGUGUUCUUAUUAUCAUCCUUUUGGUGAUAACAAGUUUGUGUCCUGAUUAUACCUUCAUCCUUUUGGUGAUGGUGAUUAUUGAAGUUAUCUGACUUAUUAUCAUCCUUUUGGUGAUAACAAGCUUUGUUGUUGGAUCUUACCUUCAUCCUUUUGGUGACGGUGAUCUUUGAAGUUUAUGAGUUAACUAUCAUCCUUUUGGUGAUAGCCUUGAUCCUAUACUCUCAGUAAUGGAAAAAUUUACCAGAAUGACCAUCAUCCUUUUGGUGAUAGAAAUCUGUGAAUUGUGUCUAACUUUCAUCCUUUAGGUGAUAGCGAGAUUUGUUGUUGAUCUGACCAUCAUCCUUUUGGUGAUGGCGAUCUUUGUUGCACCCACUGUAACCAUUAUCCUUUUGGUGAUGACUACCUUAAAAGCUCAGCUUAUCCAUCAUCCUUUUGGUGAUGACAAUCCUCAAAAUCAUGGUGAAUCUCUGUCAUCCUUUUGGUGUCAGAAAACCAGUCCCACCUUUGUCUUCACAUCAGAAAUAACCUGUGCCAGAUUUGAAUGUUGACUCGAGGGUUGGCAUUGAUCGAACAUCCUACCCCCAUUACCUUGGCAUCCAUUGCAUUUUCAUCUGCAUCUCUCCAUUGCAUUUCAAAGGACAAAAUUUGGAUCCUUUAGUAUUUAAUUACCUUCCACCACGAAUGUAUGAUGACCUUUAUCAUUCUUACUUUCUAGUUCAAGAUAAUUAAAUAGGGGCAGCUGUCGUACCCCAAUUUUGUCCGGGCAUUUUUAAUUUUUUCAAAAUUAAUUUCAGUUUCAUUUUUGCAUCAUACGCAUAGCAUGACAUACAUUUGCAUCAUGAAUAAACACCUAAAAUGUCAGUCAGAAGGAAUUUAUUUGAGAAUACAGAAAAAAUCGGUUGAAUCGUUAAAAUUUGAGAAAAGACUGUAUUUUUAAUAAGUAGGUUUUGUGCUGACAAUUUUAAUGUGACUGGUUUAUUUAUUAUUAUUAUUUUUUUUAUUUUUUUAUUUUCUUUCUUUUUUCGAAUUAAAUUUGUACUCGAUUUUUUUUAAUUGGUCAAAUAUUAGUUAGAGUUUUUUUUUAAAUAUUAUUUAAUUAAAUAUUAGUUAAUGUUUUUUAUAUUAAUUAGUUUUUUUAUAUUAGUUAGAUUUUUUCUAAAAUAGUAGUUAAUUUUAGUUUUUAAAUAUUAAUUAGUUUGUUUAGUUAGAUUUUGUAAAAUAUUAGUUAGAGUAUUUUUUUUUUAAUAUUAAUUAGUUUUUCUAAAUAUUAGUUAGUUUUUAAAUAUUAGUUAGAUUUUUCUUUUUAAUAUUAAUUAGUUUUUUUUAGUGUUAAUUAGUUUAAGAGUUAGUUAGCUUUUUUAUUAGUUAAUUUUUAAAUAGUAGUUAGUUAGAGUUUUUAAAAUAUUAAUUAGUUUUUUUAUUUUUUAUGAAUAUAUGUAUUUUACAUUGGAUUCCAAUCCAUAAAAAAACAAAAAAAACAAAAUCUCCCAACGUCUCUCUCCAUCCACUCCCAACAGACCCUGCUCCACUACCUCUCCUCUCUCUCGUACCAGAAAAGACAAAAAAAGAAAAUAGAUAAAUGGGAACGUUACUCUCUCACUCUCAGACCACUAUUCACUCUCUCAAAAAAAAGACAAUCUCUCAAUUUCCUCUCAACUCUGAGCUCACACAAUCCCCUUCCUCUCUCGCCCCAAAUCUCUCACUCUCAAUUCUCAGCUGAAACUCUCACCGACAAACCCUCCUCUCUAAAAUCCGCCGCCACCACCUUCUACCACCACUAAACACUCACCAACCGUCAACCCUCCGAAUCCUUCAUCAUCUUCGUCAUCGCAACUCAACCGUUCACCGCCACCCAAAACCCCUACCGUCGCGGCGACUUCCACCUUCAAACCCUUAAACCACCUUCGAAACACCGUCAAAACCGCCGUCGCUCUCACCGGCAAACUCUCUCCAUCUACCUUCAAAUCGCGCCCUCACCGACAAACCCACACGAAACCUACUCAUCUCACAAUCUCCAAGCCGUCACCAUCCAUCAUCGCUUCCGUCCACAAUCGCGACCCAUCUUCACCGCUAAAACCUAAUCUCUAAAUCCGCCGUCAUCACCGUACCGAAGCCGUCGGUGACUUGUCAGUUCGCAACUAUCUUCGACCUUCAUCAACAGUUUGGGAUUGUGUUGUGUAAUUUUUCUGUUUUUUCAGGGAAAGUCUGAAGCUUUAGAGCCAUGGGUCCAGCACCGGUGACGAUUACAACUAGCCUCUGUUGAUAGCUUCAAAAGGAUUUUCUU